rnacentral:rRNA from 1 species
UGGCGUGUCGAUAGAGAAGAGGAAACACCCGAUCCCAUCCCGAACUCGGCAGUUAAGCUCUUCAUCGGCGAAAGUAGUGCUCGGGGGACUGAGUGUGAGGAUAGCACGGCGCGCCUU